CCUACAUCUUAUAAAGUAUUCAGUACAACUGUACUUAGAGCCUUGUGUAGUGUUAUUGUAAAUUGUGAUGAAUUUUAUGUAUAUCAGGGAAUAAAUAAAUUUAUUAGCAAGCAAACUUAUUUUAAUUUCGCUUCUUAUCCUCGUGCAAGGUGAGUUGUUUUUGCUCCUAUUAAUCCUUAACACGUUGUCGUCUGUGGAAUGAUUUAACAUGACUUAACCAGGAAUCUCCAUUCGAGCAAUAAUAGAUUUUUGUUUGUACAGUUCGAGCGCCCGACGGAAUUACAGUUCGCCUAAUGCCAGGACGGCGGAAAAUUGUUCGCUCAUGGGUAUUAUGAAUGCUGGCGACCGGAUGAUACGUAGCCUAUCUUAAGUGCAGUAGUACAAAUUGAUGAACGAAUCUGUGAUAUUCGCAUUUGGUAGUUAGUUACGCGGAAAAGUCUGAUUUUGUUAUACAAUUUUGAUUUAACACAUUCCAAAACCUGCACGAAUAAAUAUUUAUUACGUUGAUUGUUUCCUAUUCUCUCUGAGUGCUUUGUUGUGCCAAAUGCGGAUAACGGCUGGUUAUUUACAUUUCUACACUGCACUUAAGGUGGAUAGGACUCGAAUUACAUAUAAGUUUAUAUACAGUUACCUUUAGAAAGUUAAGGAAAUUGUACCCCGAUGUUGACUUACAUGCAACGUGUAUACAGCAUGUAAAAAACCGUCCGAUGCGAAAGGAGUGAUUCUAGUGCUGAAAUACUAAAAAUUUUUGUAGGUAAUAAUAUUUUAUUUUCAUCAAAUUGAACCAACUAAUAAAUUACGGAUGUAGGAAGUAUUUUACACAUUUUGAUGUUUCAACAUUGUUCGCGUUCGAAAAUUUAUUGUCUGAGCACAAGAAUCACUGGCCUUUCGGAUAGGAUUGUUUACGCUUUUUAAACACGUUACUAUACAAUACAUUGUAUUGUAAAUUAUAUACGUUAUUUUCAAAAAUGUUAAAAGCGAUUACUGUCGCUAAACUGCUUCCGCCAUUUAGCUUCUUUUUAUUGCCAAUUAUUUAGGUAAAAUAAUAUUACGUAAACACAAAGUUGUAUCGGAAUUCAAUUUAGGAACUAAAUUAAAUUACAGAUUAAUUUUAUUGUAUUCGGAGAUAUUAUGAAAUUUAUCAUUAUCUACAAAAUGUAUCAUUUGGGUGUAAGCCUUACCCAUACAUUUUAACAAUAAUACAAAUAAAUAUGGCUUUUUAAUAGUGCAGACUGUGUAAGUAAUACCUACGUAGAAAAACAGUCAAGGAUUGGAUAAAUUUAUGAUAUUUCUUAUCCACUAUCUAUUAUAGUUAUACACAUAUAAAUGGAAAGUCUCUCUAUAUUUUAAUAACGGAAAUAUUGUGAUCUAACGUCAUAAAUAUGCAUAAUCUCUCACAUUUAAUCUGUUUCUCAAAUAUUUCGCAUUGGGAUUGAUUUAAUUUAUUCACCAAACUGUUAGGUCGAGAAAGAGUCAAGAUUUGCCCGUGAAAAUGGUUUAUUUUCUUUACAUAAUUGGUAAGACUACAGUUAUUAGAGUAUUUCAAUACCUCUCGAAUCACUCGACCACCCAUUUAGGUAUAUUAAUAUUUCAGAAUCAUACAGAUCAGAAUAGUAGCAUUCUCCCCCGCUAUGUUGAUCGUAGAGCAUUCUGAUAUUUUUCACAGAAAAGUCUAUUACACGGUAGUAGAUAGGUACAACUUAUAUGUACAUUUUUAUAUUUAUUUGGUAUUUGAAAUGCAAUUUAACUGUCCACUUCCGCACAAAAUAAGAAUGAUUCAGAAUCAAACGAAGUGGUUUGGUAAAACGCUCAGCCGUGGCUAGCCGUAGUGUUAGUUACGUAUGAUAUAGUAGUCACCUGGCGCUAUGGUUUGCCAUGUCAGAAGUUCAGAACAAACAGUCCCCAACUUCAAGAAAAAAACGCUGAUGGGUCUAUCUAAUGAUGAUGAAGUAAAAACAAGGCAGGAUGGCAAAGAGCAAUAGCUAUGGGCAGAGAUUCUCGGACGAAAUCAAGCAUUAUCAAAUUAGAAACAGACGACCACCCCAGCAUACACAGAUGGUGCAAUAGCUACCAAGACUCUUGGUCCAAGAAC